rnacentral:rRNA from 1 species
AACGAACGCUGGCGGCGUGGAUAAGACAUGCAAGUCGAACGGAACUUUCAGCUGUAGCAAUACAGUUGAAAGUUUAGUGGCGAACGGGUGCGUAACACGUGGGCAAUCUGCCGAGAAGUGGGGGAUAGCUCGCCGAAAGGCGAAUUAAUACCGCAUGUGAUCAGGAAGACAUCUUUCCAACAUUAAAGCCGGGGUUAAACCUGGCGCUUCUUGAUGAGCCCGCGGCCUANCAGCUAGUUGGUGAGGUAACGGCUCACCAAGGCUUUGACGGGUAGCUGGUCUGAGAGGACGAUCAGCCGGAUUGGGACUGAGAUACGGCCCAGACUCCUACGGGGGGCAGCAAUUAGGAAUCUUGCACAAUGGGGAAACCCUGAUGCAGCGACGCCGCGUGAAGGACGAAGGCCUU